rnacentral:lncRNA from 1 species
UUCCUGUUCCUCUUUCUCUUACACUCUCUCCUUGACCACGAGUGCAGGACAUCACGGUAACAGCUCCUCCGCCCUUCUUCCCCCCUCCCUCCCAGAGGAAUAAUGUAACGAGGAACAGCUGACAUCCCCACCUGACAUGCCGGCAUCAGCGUGACAUCAGACCCAAACAGCCGAAAGGUGAUCAUUCCCCGAGAGUGGAGGAACAUAGGUUAAUCCCUUUGGCGCGAAAGACGGCGAACGGAUUUCAUUAUCAUCCUAUGCUAUGAUUACCAUGGGAUCUGAAGAACUCACGUUGAUGGGAAUCCUCGAGCCAGGGACCCUAUGCUCGUGGGAACCCUUGGGAGAACGCGUUAUGUUUUACUGGUGUUUGCUUGUGCUCUCGGCUCAACUACACGCCAUUUUCUUCGUCCUUACGCAGUCAGUCAGUAUCGAGACGCUUCUUUGAUGUUAAAAAAUCGUUAUUUAUAUACCUUGUCUUUCAUUUUUUAAUGUGUAAUCUAGAUUGAAUGUUCUGUACCUGUCGAUUUAUAUAUAUGUUAUUAUUUUAAGCGUUAUGCAUGAAUAAAAUUGUUGAGAAUA